AGGCAGCAGUGGGGAAUAUUGCACAAUGGGGGAAACCCUGAUGCAGCCAUGCCGCGUGUGUGAAGAAGGCCUUCGGGGUUGUAAAGCACUUUCAGUAGGGAGGAAGGUAGUGUAGUUAACACCUGCAUUAUUUGACGUUACCUACAGAAGAAGCACCGGCUAACUCCGUGCCAGCAGCCGCGGUAAUACGGAGGGUGCGAGCGUUAAUCGGAAUUACUGGGCGUAAAGCGCAUGCAGGCGGCCUGUUAAGUCAGAUGUGAAAGCCCGGGGCUUAACCUCGGAAUUGCAUUUGAAACUGGCAGGCUAGAGUCUUGUAGAGGGGGGUAGGAAUUUCAGGUGUAGCGGUGAAAUGCGUAGAGAUCUGAAGGAAUACCAGUGGCGAAGGCGGCCCCCUGGACAAAGACUGACGCUCAGAUGCGAAAGCGUGGGGAGCAAACAGGAUUAGAUACCCUGGUAG
rnacentral:rRNA from 1 species